rnacentral:rRNA from 1 species
GAUGAACGCUGGCGGCGUGCCUAAUACAUGCAAGUCGAGCGAAUGGAUUGAGAGCUUGCUCUCAAGAAGUUAGCGGCGGACGGGUGAGUAACACGUGGGUAACCUGCCCAUAAGACUGGGAUAACUCCGGGAAACCGGGGCUAAUACCGGAUAACAUUUUGAACCGCAUGGUUCGAAAUUGAAAGGCGGCUUCGGCUGUCACUUAUGGAUGGACCCGCGUCGCAUUAGCUAGUUGGUGAGGUAACGGCUAACCAAGGCAACGAUGCGUAGCCGACCUGAGAGGGUGAUCGGCCACACUGGGACUGAGACACGGCCCAGACUCCUACGGGAGGCAGCAGUAGGGAAUCUUCCGCAAUGGACGAAAGUCUGACGGAGCAACGCCGCGUGAGUGAUGAAGGCUUUCGGGUCGUAAAACUCUGUUGUUAGGGAAGAACAAGUGCUAGUUGAAUAAGCUGGCACCUUGACGGUACCUAACCAGAAAGCCACGGCUAACUACGUGCCAGCCGCCGCGGUAACAC